rnacentral:rRNA from 1 species
GAUGAACGCUGGCGGCGUGCCUAAUACAUGCAAGUCGAGCGAACAGAUAAGGAGCUUGCUCCUUUGACGUUAGCGGCGGACGGGUGAGUAACACGUGGGUAACCUACCUAUAAGACUGGGAUAACUUCGGGAAACCGGAGCUAAUACCGGAUAACAUUUGGAAUCGCAUGGUUCUAAAGUGAAAGAUGGUUUUGCUAUCACUUAUAGAUGGACCCGCGCCGUAUUAGCUAGUUGGUAAGGUAACGGCUUACCAAGGCGACGAUACGUAGCCGACCUGAGAGGGUGAUCGGCCACACUGGAACUGAGACACGGUCCAGACUCCUACGGGAGGCAGCAGUAGGGAAUCUUCCGCAAUGGGCGAAAGCCUGACGGAGCAACGCCGCGUGAGUGAUGAAGGGUUUCGGCUCGUAAAACUCUGUUAUUAGGGAAGAACAAAUGUGUAAGUAACUGUGCACGUCCUGACGGUACCUAAUCAGAAAGCCACGGCUAACUACGUG